CCUACGGGAGGCAGCAGUGGGGAAUUUUGCGCAAUGGGCGAAAGCCUGACUAUGUGACGCCGCGUGAGGGAUGAAGGUCUUCGGAUUGUAAACCUCUUUCGAUGGGGAAGAAUACCCGCGCUAACCACGCGGAUUGACGGUACCCAGAGAAGAAGCCACGGCCAACUCUGUGCCAGCAGCCGCGGUAAGACAGAGGUGGCUAGCGUUACUCGGAUUUAUUGGGUGUAAAAGGCAGGUAGGCGGCUAUGUAAGUUGGAGGUAAAAUCCUUGGGCUUAACCCAAGAACUGCCUUCAAAACUGCAUAGCUUGAGGCCGGAAGAGGAAAGCGAAAUUCCCGGUGUAAGGGUGAAAUCUGUAGAUAUCGGGAGGAACACCAGUGGCGAAGGCGGCUUUCGGGGCUGGCCCUGACGCUGAGCUGCGAAAGCUGGGGGAGCAAACAGGAUAAGAUCCCCGGGUAGU
rnacentral:rRNA from 1 species